GUAUAAAAAACAUUUAUUAAUAAUAUUUGCAAAAUUUAGAAUACAAAUUUGCUAUUUAUACAUAAAAUUUCCUCACGUCCCACAUGGGAAAUCGUGUUCAUGUAACACAUGUGGAAAAUCGUGUUCAUGUAACACACUUUUCUUUAAUGGAGGGGUCAGCCGCCAUGAAAAUAAAAUAAAAGAAAAAAUCAGGCACUAAUAAAGCCACGACAAAGGCGUGUUGACAAAUGAAGCUACGACGAAAGAUGUUGGGCCAUGGUUUUCUUU